rnacentral:rRNA from 1 species
GACGAACCGUGCGAACGUUGUUCGGAAUCACUGGGCGUAAAGCGCACGUAGGCGGAUCUUUAAGUCAGGGGUGAAAUCCUGGAGCUCAACUCCAGAACUGCCUUUGAUACUGGGGAUCUCGAGUCCGGAAGAGGUGAGUGGAACUCCGAGUGUAGAGGUGAAAUUCGUAGAUAUUCGGAAGAACACCAGUGGCGAAAGCGGCUUCCUGGACCAGUACCGACGUUCAGGCACGAAAGCGUGGGGAGCAAACAGG